UUCCAGCUAUUUCCUCUCAUUUUCAUCAACCAGAAAGAUAGGGGUGGUCACCAAUUCUUGAUUUUCAGUCCGAUUUGAAUAAAAUGUCACAUAUUAGCUUCUUGGAAAUCAAAGUAGAGAACUCUAUGCCCAUCUUGGAGUUGAUCUCAUCCCCCAAUAGCCCUAUACUUUGGACUCUGCUCAAAGUUGAAUUUAGUCCCUUAAUUAUGCUUAUGCUCCAACUUCAAAGUGGACCAUAGAAUGCAAAUCUCAGCAACCAAUUAUAACUUGAAUGGCUCCACAUUGGUCUGGAAAGGACAUCAAUAGCAUCUUAAUGCUGAUCCUAAUAAUUAAAAUUAGGAACAGUGAAAGAAACCUUGCUUUUUUAACAGAAGAAAUGGAGACAAGCAGAAAAGCAAUUGUAGGAACAUUAUAAUAAGUUGCAGAAAGAGGCUUAGACCCAUCUCACUGUGUCAUCACACGCCUAGAUGGGUUUAACAUUUUGGUUACUUUCGGCAGGUGUUGUCUUCAUGGCUUGCCAUGUUAACUGAAUUCAUUGGAGCGUGUGGCGUGUGAGGGCUACAGAAUUAGAGGAAUUUAUUAUAUGUUAGUGAGAAUGGCAAGAUAUUGAAAAAGUAUAGUGCAGAAAAAGGAGUAAAGCUGUGGUCAUAUGUGGAGCAAUGGAGCAGAUGGUCGCAGCAUAUCCCUUGGAAGAUGCGGCCAUUGGAGAAGGAACCACCCAUAGUUUAAAAUCUCUUUGCUCCUCGUUUAUAAGGACAUAUAUAUACACACACACAGACACAUUCACAUUCCCUAUUGAUCACCAUCUCCAUCUACCUAUGAGCUACUUCAAGCUCAUAAUCAGUUAUUUUCUCUUAGCAUUAGCGCCACCCCCAACGUGCUAAACCCACAUCACCCACCAUGGCUUUAAUGCCUUAGUGGGUUGGUUUAGGGGUGGUGGGAGGUGGCUGGAUAUGCAAGGCUACAUAUAGAUUUUGUCACACAAAAAUUUGGGAGAUUCUCUUCGUUUUCAUGACAUGAUCUGCGCUUGAGGUUCAGGUUCAAGCUCAGGCUCAGGCUCAGGCUCAAGCUCGAGGCUCGAAGGUAUUUGCUCGAUCAUCAUGACAACGAGUUAAUCAGAUUCUGGGAUAUUUUUAUAACUCUUAUUCUGUUGUUUCUGUGCUCUAAAUAUGUACAUGGAAAAGGUCAUGUCUCUUCCUGGGUUCUCAAUAUGUGUUUAGAGCCUGUGGAUUUUGUUGCUUUUGGUGUUGCAUUUAAUUGUAAUGGUUCUUUCUUUCUUUAUACUCUAGGAAAGCAGAAGCAAUGCUUCUGUAAUACUUCAUAUUACUCACGUUCUUGUGAGCUUA